rnacentral:rRNA from 1 species
CGAAAGCCUGACGCAGCGAUGCCGCGUGCGGGAUGAAGGCCUUCGGGUUGUAAACCGCUUUCAGCAGGGACGAAAUUGACGGUACCUGCAGAAGAAGCCCCGGCCAACUACGUGCCAGCAGCCGCGGUAAUACGUAGGGGGCGAGCGUUGUCCGGAUUUAUUGGGCGUAAAGAACUCGUAGGCGGUUCGAUAAGUCGGAUGUGAAAUCUCCACGCUCAACGUGGAGAGGCCAUUCGAUACUGUCGUGACUCGAGUCCGGUAGGGGAGUGUGGAAUUCCCGGUGUAGCGGUGAAAUGCGCAGAGAUCGGGAGGAACACCCGUAGCGAAGGCGGCACUCUGGGCCGGUACUGACGCUGAGGAGCGAAAGCGUGGGGGAGCAAACAGGAUUAGAUACCCUGGUAGUCCACGCCGUAAACGUUGGACACUAGGUGUGGGACUCUAUCGACGGGUUCCGUGCCGUAGCUAACGCAUUAAGUGCCCCGCCUGGGGAGUACGGCCGCAAGGCUA